rnacentral:rRNA from 1 species
GGGGAAUAUUGGGCAAUGGGCGCAAGCCUGACCCAGCAACGCCGCGUGAAGGAAGAAGGCUCUCGGGUUGUAAACUUCUUUUAUUCGGGACGAAACAAAUGACGGUACCGAAUGAAUAAGCCACGGCUAACUACGUGCCAGCAGCCGCGGUAAUACGUAGGUGGCAAGCGUUAUCCGGAUUUACUGGGUGUAAAGGGCGUGUAGGCGGGAUGGUAAGUCAGAUGUGAAAACUAUGGGCUCAACCCAUAGCCUGCAUUUGAAACUAUCGUUCUUGAGUGCUGGAGAGGCAAUCGGAAUUCCGUGUGUAGCGGUGAAAUGCGUAGAUAUACGGAGGAACACCAGUGGCGAAGGCGGAUUGCUGGACAGUAACUGACGCUGAGGCGCGAAAGCGUGGGGAGCAAACAGG